rnacentral:rRNA from 1 species
AUUGAACGCUGGCGGCAGGCCUAACACAUGCAAGUCGAGCGGAGCGGCGGACGGGUGAGUAAUGACUAGGAAUCUGCCUGGUAGUGGGGGUUAACGUCCGGAAACGGGCGCUAAUACCGCAUACUAUCAGAUUCGCCUAGGUCGGAUUAGCUAGGUGGUGGGGUAAAGGCCUACCAAGUCUACGAUCCGUAACUGGUCUGAGAGGAUGAUCAUUCACACUGGAACUGAGACACGGGCCCGACUCCGACGGUAGGCAGCAGUGGGGAAUAUUGGACAAUGGGCGAAGGCCUGAUCCAGCCAUGCCGCGUGUGUGAAGAAGGGCUUCGGAUUGUAAAGCACUUUAAUUUGGGAGGCGUUACCAACAGAAUAAGCACCGGAGAACAAAGUGGCAGCCGCCGCGGUAAUAC